GAGCUAGUCUAAAGAAUAUUUAGCUUAAUCUACUAAGCCUGGAUUGUACACUCAUUUUUAAUAUUACAUUUUGGAAGUAGGGAAUUCAUGACCUUGAAUUUUCACAGGAUUUCAUUAAUACCUAUUUGAAGAAAAUGUCUAGGGACUAGUAUCUCUUGUAAUGAAUGUCACUUUUGUUCUUCAUUUCCACUAUACCCUUGAAUACCUAAUAGUCUGUUUUUAGCGCUGCAUGUAUUUAUAGUCAACUUCUCUUUCUGAGUAUUAAAAUGACAAUCUAUAUGUAAUAUAUGUGCAGCAGGAAAAAUUCGGAUAAUCACAUGGAACUUGUAAUAAUAGAAUUUGGAUAUAUGUUCAGGUCUCUUAUUUAAGAGCUCUGUAAGGAUUGAGAGCUUAUUUAGAACCAUAUUUAAGGUUUUAAAUCUACCUCAUCUCUGUCUCAUUGUGAUGAUCAAGCCACUGCUUCUCCUUCUGGGUGAAUAGGGAUGUCUGAUAUUGCCAGCCUCCUUGUAUUUAACUUAUUAAAAUGUCAUUGUUAAGUCAAGGUCAAGUAGUAGGAAUUUACUCUCUUAAGGAUUUGUGUUCUUAACCAGUACUUUGUUGUUCUUUGCCAGAGCUAGAGCAUGUUUCAUUAUACUACCCACAAAGGAAAUACCACGUCUCUUUAAAAGUGAGAGGGCUGACAUGACAUCCUGUAUUUUCUCUAUUUUAAGCCCUAGUAUUUUAAGCAUGUUAACAGGAAUAACUCUCCUUUUUUGUAAACAGCUAAGUUUGGGAGGUGUUAAAUGAUGGGCAGUACUGGGAACAGGAAGAUAGUGGCAGAUACAUAAAGACACAAAAGCCCAGUUUUGUUCAGAGAUGGGGGGUGGGUGUUGUAGGUGUGCAAGUGAGAGAGUAAUGAUGUAAAUAGUAUUCAGUGAGUACCUAUGAUCUGCCAGAUACCCUGGGUGCCUUAAUUGCUUAUUUUAGUUACUUCUUACUACUGUUGUGAGUGAUAAAUGAUCUUUAUUUUACAAAUGAGAGAAAUUAAGGCUCUGAAAGGAUAAAUCGUGUGUCUAACUUAAUUAGUAGAGGAGUCACAUUCAGAAGCUACGUCUGAUGCCAAAACCCAGGAUCUUUCUAAUAUUAAGAAUGAAAAAUAAGACAAUAAGUAGAUUAGACACCUGGAGGAAUUAGGAGAUAUGUAGGACUAAUACUGUAUGUUGGAGACAUGAUGUGUAGGAACUUGCUUUCUAGGACAAGUUGUCAGCCUUUGUCCUGUAAAUGGCAGAUAGCAACAAGAAUGGGUACAGUGCUGGAUAGGAAGUCAAGACACACGUCUGGUGGUUCUGUAACUCGGCAAGUUACCCAUCUUUAAGUCUCAGUUUCCUUAUCUAGGAGGCAGGAUUGGAUGGUUUCUUUAAAUGGUACCUUUAAUACUCUGUAAUUAUUUAGAUACUAUAGCAACCUUAUUUUAGCAAUCUUCAUUUGAUCUCUAGGUCUAAAAACUCAGUAGUAAUACAGUAAUAAAAGUAGCUGACAAUAGGUCUUUCAGUCUUUUUCGCCCUCCCUUAGUCUCUGUCCCCAGUCCCUCCCCUCCCUACCCCUUUCUCUCAUCCAGCUCAGGCAGUGUUUGUGCUCUGUUUGUGCCCGUGGGGGUGGUGGAGGCGAUGGAGUAAGCAGGAGGCAGCUGCCAGGUGCGAAAGCAGAGCAGGAACCGCCUGUGUUUAGGGGGGCGGGGAGAAAGAGCCCCAGCUCCGCCCCUCCUGGAAGGAGAGGGAAAAGGUAACUAUGACUGCCCAAUAUUGCAGCCAUGGAGUCCAUGUGGUAAUAAAUUGAAGCAUACUGUUACAAAAGUAACAGCUGAUGUCACUAGUGCUGUAAUGAGAAAUCCUGUCACUAGAGAAUUUGAUGUUGGUCGACACAUUGCCAGUGGUGGCAGUGGGCUAGCUUGGGAGAUUUUUAAUGGCACAAAAAAGUCAACAAAGUAGUGGCUGUUUUUGUCUUUGAUAAAAAAUGAUUGACAAAUAUCAAAAAUUUGAAAAGGAUCAAAUCAUCGAUUCUCUAAAACGAGGAGUCCAACACUUAACUCGACUUCAACACCCUCGACUUCUUACCGUCCAGCAUCCUUUAGAAGAAUCCAGGGAUUCUUUGGCAUUUUGUACAGAACCAGUUUUUGCCAGUGUAGCCAGUGUUCUUGGUAACUGGGAAAAUCUACCUUUCCCUAUGUCUCCAGACAUUAAGGAUUAUAAACUUUAUGAUGUAGAAACCAAAUGUGGUUUGCUUCAGAAGGCUUGUCAUUCUUGCAUAGCAGUGUGAAAAUGGUACAUGGAAAUAUUACUCCUGAAAAUACAAUUGUGAAUAAAAGUGGAGCCUGGAAAAUAAUGGGUUUUGAUUUUUGUGUAUCAUCAACUAAUCCUUCUGAACAAGAGCCUAAAUUUUCUUGUAAAGAAUGGGACCCAAAUUUACCUUCAUUGUAUCUUCCAAAUCCUGAAUAUUUGGCUCCUGAAUACAUACUUUAUGUGAACUGUGAAACAGCCAGUGAUUUGUAUUCUUUAGGAACUGUUAUGUAUGCUGUAUUUAAUAAAAGGAAACCUAUAUUUGAAAUCAAUAAGCAAGAUAUUUACAAGAGUUUCAGUAGGCAGUUGGAUCAGUUGAGUUAUUUAGGAUCUAGUUCACUUACAAAUAUACCUGAGGAAGUUCGUGAACAUGUAAAGCUACUGUUAAAUGUAACUCCAACUCUAAGACCAGAUGUGGAUCAAAUGACAGAUUUCCUUCUUUGAUGAUGUUGGUGCAAUAACACUGCAAUGUUUUAAUACCUUAUUCCAAAGAUUAUCUUCGGAAAUCACAGUUUUUCAACAGACUGUCAAAGGUUCUACUGCCUAAGCAUGUCAUUGUGCAGAGAAUUUUGACUUGUUUGACUUCAGAAUUUGUAAACCCUGACAUGGUACCUUUUGUUUUGCCCAGUGUUCUACUGAUCAUUGAGGAAUGCACCAAAGAAGAAUAUGUCAAAUUAAUUCCACCUGAACUUGGUCCUGUGUUUAAGCAGCAGGAGCCAAUCCAGAUUUUGAUAAUUUUCCGACAAAAAAUGGAUUUGCUACUAACCAAACCCCUCCCGAUGAGAUAAAGAACAGUGUUCUACCCAUGGUUUACAGAGCACUAGAAGCUCCUUCCAUUCAGACCCAGGAGCUCUGUCUAAACAUCAUUCCAGCCUCUGCAAAUCUUAUAGACUACCCAUCCAUGAAACAUACUUUGAUACCAAGAAUUAAAAUGCCUGUCUACAAAUGUCUUCCCUUGCUGUUUGUGUAAAUUCAUUAGUGUGCUUAUGAAAGAUUUUGGAAUACUUGGAUAAGUGGUUUGUACUUGAUGAUAUCCUACCCUUCUUACAACAAAUUUCAUCCAAAGAAUCUGCAGUCUUCAUGGGUAUUUUAGGCAUUUACAAAUGUACUUUUACUCAUAAGUUGGGAAUCACCAAAGAGCAGCUGGCUGGAUAAGUAUUGCCUCAUCUUAUUCCCCUGAGUAUUGAAAACAAUCUUAAUCAGUUCAAUUAUUUCAUUUCCAUCAUAAAAGAGAUGCUUAAUAGAUUGGAGUCUGAACAUAAGACUAAGCUGAAACAACUUCAUAUAAUGCAAGAACAGCAGAAAUCUUUGGACUUGGGAAAUCAAAUUAAUGUUUCUGGGGAGACAAAAGUUACAAAUAUUUUGAAUCAGCAAAUUGACAAGGUUGUUAACCACAUUAGAGCAGACCUUCUGACUGGCAGUGAUUCCAAAAAUAAAGAGGAUGGGUUACAGAAUAAACGUAAAACAGCAUCACUUACAUUUGAAGAAAAACAAAAAUUAGCAAAAGAACAAGAGCAGGCACAGAAGUUGAAAAGCCAGCAGCCUCUUAAACCCCAAUGCAGACACCUAUUGCUACUGUUAAACAGAGUAAUGACUUGACAGGCACAUUGAUGGAUAAUAUGUCAUCUUCGACUAGCCUUUCUGUUAGUACCCCUAAACCUUCUGCUUCAAGUACUUUCACUUCUCUUCCUUUCAUGGGCAUUGGCAUGAUGUUUUCUAUACCAGUUGAUAAUACAAAGAAAAAUUUGACAAAUGGCCUAAAUGCCAAUAUGGGCUUUCAGACUUCAGGAUUCAACAUGCCUGUUACUACAAACCAGAACUUCUACAGUAGUCCAAGCACAGUUGGAGUGACCAAGAUGACUCUGGAACACCUCCCACUUUGCCAAACUUCAGUGCUUUGAAUAUUCCUCCUGCUGGUGCAAAGCCGACCCAACAAAGACCCACAGAUAUGUCUGCCCUUAAUAAUCUCUUUGGCCCUCAGAAACCCAAAGUUAGCAUGAACCAGUUAUCACAACAGAAACCAAAUCAGUGGCUCAAUCAGUUUGUACCUCCUCAAGGUUCUGCAGCUAUGGGCAUUCAGUAAUGGGAACACAGAUGAACUUGAUAGGACAAUCUGCCUUUGGUACGCAGGGUAAUCCUUUCUUCAACCCACGGAACUUUGCAUAGCCACCAACUACUAUGACCAAUAGCAGUUCAGCUAGCAGUGAUUUAAAAGAUCUUUUUGGGUAA